rnacentral:rRNA from 1 species
AUGAACGCUGGCGGCGUGCCUAAUACAUGCAAGUCGAGCGAACAGACGAGGAGCUUGCUCCUCUGACGUUAGCGGCGGACGGGUGAGUAACACGUGGAUAACCUACCUAUAAGACUGGGAUAACUUCGGGAAACCGGAGCUAAUACCGGAUAAUAUAUUGAACCGCAUGGUUCAAUAGUGAAAGACGGUUUUGCUGUCACUUAUAGAUGGAUCCGCGCCGCAUUAGCUAGUUGGUAAGGUAACGGCUUACCAAGGCAACGAUGCGUAGCCGACCUGAGAGGGUCAUCGGCCACACUGGAACUGAGACACGGUCCAGACUCCUACGGUAGGCAGCAGUAGGGAAUCUUCCGCAAUGGGCGAAAGCCUGACGGAGCAACGCCGCGUGAGUGAUGAAGGUCUUCGGAUCGUAAAACUCUGUUAUUAGGGAAGAACAAAUGUGUAAGUAACUAUGCACGUCUUGACGGUACCUAAUCAGAAAGCCACGGCUAACUCCGUG